AUCAGAUAGCUUGCUAACUGGUCCUAUUGGCGGACGGGUGAGUAACGCGUAAGAAUCUGCCCCUAGGAGAGGGAUACCAACUGGAAACGGUUGUUAAUACCUCAUAUGCUGAGGAGUAAAAUGGUUUCAUACCGCCUAGGGAUGAGCUUGCGUCUGAUUAGCUAGUUGGUGGGGUAAUGGCCUACCGAGGCAAUGAUCAGUAGCUGGUCUGAGAGGACAAUCAGCCACACUGGGACUGAGACACGGCCCAGACUCCUACGGGAGGCAGCAGUGAGGAAUUUUCCGCAAUGGGCGAAAGCCUGACGGAGCAAUGCCGCGUGGAGGAAGACGGCCCGUGGGUUGUAAACUCCUUUUCUUGGAGAAGAAUAACUGACGGUAUCCAAGGAGUAAGCAUCGGCUAACUCCGUGCCAGCAGCCGCGGUAAUACGGAGGAUGCAAGCGUUAUCCGGAUUCAUUGGGCGU
rnacentral:rRNA from 1 species